rnacentral:rRNA from 1 species
CAGUAGCCGCGGUAAUACGAAGGGGGCUAGCGUUGCUCGGAAUUACUGGGCGUAAAGGGAGCGUAGGCGGACUGUUUAGUCAGAGGUGAAAGCCCAGGGCUCAACCUUGGAAUUGCCUUUGAUACUGGCAGUCUUGAGUACGGAAGAGGUAUGUGGAACCCCGAGUGUAGAGGUGAAAUUCGUAGAUAUUCGGAAGAACACCAGUGGCGAAGGCGACAUACUGGUCCGUUACUGACGCUGAGGCUCGAAAGCGUGGGGAGCAAACAGGAUUAGAUACCCCCGUAGUCCCUGUCUCUUAUAC